AGUCGAACGAGAGAAUUGCUAGCUUGCUAAUAAUUCUCUAGUGGCGCACGGGUGAGUAACACGUGAGUAACCUGCCCCCGAGAGCGGGAUAGCCCUGGGAAACUGGGAUUAAUACCGCAUAGUAUCGAAAGAUUAAAGCAGCAAUGCGCUUGGGGAUGGGCUCGCGGCCUAUUAGUUAGUUGGUGAGGUAACGGCUCACCAAGGCGAUGACGGGUAGCCGGUCUGAGAGGAUGUCCGGCCACACUGGAACUGAGACACGGUCCAGACACCUACGGGUGGCAGCAGUCGAGAAUCAUUCACAAUGGGGGAAACCCUGAUGGUGUGGCGCCGCGUGGGGGAAUGAAGGUCUUCGGAUUGUAAACCCCUGUCAUGUGGGAGCAAAUUAAAAAGAUAGUACCACAAGAGGAAGAGACGGCUAACUCUGUGCCAGCAGCCGCGGUAAUACAGAGGUCUCAAGCGUUGUUCGGAAUCACUGGGCGUAAAGCGUGCGUAGGCUGUUUCGUAAGUCGUGUGUGAAAGGCGCGGGCUCAACCCGCGGACGGCACAUGAUACUGCGAGACUAGAGUAAUGGAGGGGGAACCGGAAUUCUCGGUGUAGCAGUGAAAUGCGUAGAUAUCGAGAGGAACACUCGUGGCGAAGGCGGGUUCCUGGACAUUAACUGACGCUGAGGCACGAAGGCCAGGGGAGCGAAAGGGAUUAGAUACCCCUGUAGUCC
rnacentral:rRNA from 1 species